AACGAACGCUGGCGGCAGGCCUAACACAUGCAAGUCGAGCGCGCCCUUCGGGGUGAGCGGCGGACGGGUGAGUAACGCGUGGGAACGUGCCCUUUUCUACGGAAUAGCCUCGGGAAACUGAGAGUAAUACCGUAUACGCCCUUUGGGGGAAAGAUUUAUCGGAAAAGGAUCGGCCCGCGUUGGAUUAGGUAGUUGGUGGGGUAGUGGCCUACCAAGCCGACGAUCCAUAGCUGGUUUGAGAGGAUGAUCAGCCACACUGGGACUGAGACACGGCCCAGACUCCUACGGGAGGCAGCAGUGGGGAAUCUUAGACAAUGGGGGCAACCCUGAUCUAGCCAUGCCGCGUGAGUGAUGAAGGCCUUAGGGUUGUAAAGCUCUUUCAGCUGGGAAGAUAAUGACGGUACCAGCAGAAGAAGCCCCGGCUAACUCCGUG
rnacentral:rRNA from 1 species